GACGGAGGAGGCAAGCGGUAUCCGGAAUUAUUGGGCGUAAAGGGUACGUAGGCGGCCGGUCAAGUCUGGGGUCAAAGGCCACAGCUCAACUGUGGGAAGGCGCUGGAAACUGACCGGCUAGAGUGAGGUAGGGGUUGCGGGAAUUCCCGGUGUAGCGGUGAAAUGCGUAGAGAUCGGGAAGAACACCUGAGGCGGAAGCGCGCAACUGGGCCUCAACUGACGCUGAGGUACGAAAGCUAGGGGAGCGAAUGGG
rnacentral:rRNA from 1 species